GGAGAUUUAGCCCAGUGGUAGAGCGCUUGCCUAGCAAGCGCAAGGCCCUGGGUUCGGUCCCCAGCUCCG
rnacentral:tRNA from 1 species